GGUUGGUCCGAAUGUAGUGAGUUAUCUCAACUGACUUCACAGUUACAGAUCGAACUCCUUGUUCUCCUUCCUCCUGCCCCUUCUCAAUACUGUACUUGACUAGUCUUAA
rnacentral:Y_RNA from 1 species